UAAGAUUAUUAUAUUGUAUUCUGGCACAGACCAACCACCAUAGGGGGCAUUUGAAGGGGAUACAGCAUAAUGAAUGAGCUGUGUGACUUCUUCACAGACACAAACAUUCCACCUUUACCAGGAAGAUAUCAAAGGACAAGUGCCAACAAGGGAUUUCUUGAGAUUACUCUCCAAAAUUCUCUUAUUGGAGAGGAAAAGGGGUACAGAUCUCUCUGCCUGAUUUUUAAAGCAUAAUAUUGAUACAUGAUGGAUUUGGCAUAUACCCUUGGAAUAUGCAGAUCACUGAGCAAGACUGAGAUUUCAUGUCAGCAACAUCUUCUCCCAGAAAGUGGAACACUGUUAGGUGAGAAAAGCAAGCUGGUAUUGGAUGCACACAGAGAUGUCUCAUCUUCCAGGACUGGAGUUCAAGCACUUGUCUAGGAAGCAAAACCUGGAAUCAGUUCUUCCCACAGCCUGUGGGGCACAAGACUCCUGCUAAGAGGAGGCUCCCUAACUGCCAAGCUACACUAUCUGGAUUAAAGGUUCUCCAUCCUUCUUAUUGGAGCUGUAUCACUGCAGAGAAAAUAAAGAAACAAAAUCAUGACUCA
rnacentral:lncRNA from 1 species